UGGGGAAUAUUGCACAAUGGGCACAAGCCUGAUGCAGCCAUGCCGCGUGUAUGAAGAAGGCCUUCGGGUUGUAAAGUACUUUCAGCGGGGAGGAAGGCGAUAAGGUUAAUAACCUUGUCGAUUGACGUUACCCGCAGAAGAAGCACCGGCUAACUCCGUGCCAGCAGCCGCGGUAAUACGGAGGGUGCAAGCGUUAAUCGGAAUUACUGGGCGUAAAGCGCACGCAGGCGGUCUGUCAAGUCGGAUGUGAAAUCCCCGGGCUCAACCUGGGAACUACAUUCGAAACUGGCAGGCUAGAGUCUUGUAGAGGGGGGUAGAAUUCCAGGUGUAGCGGUGAAAUGCGUAGAGAUCUGGAGGAAUACCGGUGGCGAAGGCGGCCCCCUGGACAAAGACUGACGCUCAGGUGCGAAAGCGUGGGGAGCAAACA
rnacentral:rRNA from 1 species